ensembl:snoRNA SNORD18 Small nucleolar RNA SNORD18
CAACUAUGAUGAUCUACUUCAAGUCCGUGUUUCUGAACCCUGAUUAUAAGGAAGUCCUGAUUUG